ensembl:lncRNA
CCCCGCCCCGCCCCGCGCUCCAGUCCCACCCCCGCUUGCGCGCCCCAAAACGCCCUGUGGUCGCUCCAUAGCGCUCCCUAAGCCUCCAGCGCGCGCCCUGUCCUCUCCAUUGCCCUCCAGGAGUCAGGCGACCCAGACCCUGCAACUGCUGCCCUUGCUGUCAACAAACAGGUUCGUCCAGGAGUCUGCCAGGAGCACCAGCGGCCAGGGCGCAAGACUUGUGUGGACUUCGUCUUUGGACAGGGUUUCUCUUUGAGUUUGGAGGCUGUCCUGGAACUCUUUUUGAAUACCGAGCUGGCCUUGAACUCACAAAUAUCCGCCUGCCUCUGCCUCCCAAGUGCUGGGAUUAAAGGUGUGCGCCACCAAUGCUACGUUAUUGUAUUUUGGUUUCAGAGGUGAUCAUUCGGUAUUUGGAUAACCAAUUAGUGUGCUUUUCUCUGGAUACAUCUUCUGUUUUAAUCCUUUAUAUCACAAAGUGUUGGAGGAUUCCCUUUUUUAAAAAAUACACAAUUUAUUUUCAUUUUGUGUUCAUUGGUGUUUUUGCCUGCCUGUAUGUAGGUGUCAGAAACCCUGGAACUGAAGUUACAGACAGGUGUGAGCUGCCAUGUGAGUGUUAGGAAUUUAACCUGGGUCUUCUGGAAGAGCAGUCAGUGCUCUUUAACCACUGAGCCAUCUCUCCAGCCUUUAAAGACUAAUCACAAACUUCAGUCAUUGUUCAGCCCCCUUACUGACCUCACUGGAUGCCUGGGAUCGAGGGAAAGACUUUAAAAUGGGCAGAGUCAACCUAUCAGUGGUGUGUCCCUGGAGUUCCAGCUACUUGGGAGACUGAAGCAGAUCAGUUGUUUAGAUCCAGCCUAAAGAACACAGUAAGAACGUCUUAAACUCAAGUGGCCUAAGUCCCCUGGAGAUGACCAGUCACUAGCUAGAGCUGGUCAGACAGAGGUGUUUAGAAAAGGAUGAGUUACAGAGCUUCUAGAACAAGGCACGCCUUAGACAUAUUUUUAUUGUUUCGUUUCAUUUCUGAGGCAGGGUUUGAUGUAGCCCAGGCUGGCCUUGAAUUUGCUAUAUAGCCAAGGAUGACUUUGAACUGCUGAUCAUCCUGCUUCCCCUCAAGUCCUGGGAUUACAAGCUUUCAAAAGUUCCUUCCUAGCAAGGUUUCUGGAAAGCAGUUUCUGAGCUUUGGUUUCUCCCCACCAAUUUGUGUAACAAGUUAUCCCUCCAUCUUUAUCUUCCGUGUGGGCCCUACUAAGGGAAUCGGGAAAGUCAACCAUGGAGCAUACUAACCCAAGAGGAGACAGAACGUUGGUCCUGCAUGACUGGUAGAGUAUAGGACUGUUUCUAACAUGCCCGGCCUGCUUCCUCCUCUGCAGACAGAUUGUUCUCAGACACUCUCACUCCACCCCCUUUAUUGCUCUGAGGGAGAGCCUCACUCAUGGUCUGCCACCACAAAGCCUCUAUCACCACUGUCUGUCUCCAAGGUGUGUGCCCUUUUCCAAGUACCUCAGGAAGCCCCUCUCUAGUCUUGGUGCACGUAGAGUGUAGAUUGGGGGGCCUGCUACUCUGAUAGAACAGUAGUGAGGUGUAGUGGACUGGAGAGAUGGCUCAGUGAUUAAAUGUAGUGAGAGAUCCACCCAGCCUUACCUGUGGCUCUGACCACACCCAUUUGAGUGUGUGGUAUUUGGUUUGGGAUCCAGGAGAGAUUUGCUUGCUCUCUCUUGGUUCCUGUUGGGCCACGGAGAGCAGCCUGGGUGUGGAUAGAGCUGGAACAUUCCGGUCAUCAGUUCCUUAUGUGACUUCUCCCAGAAUAAAAUUAACCUAUAUUUAACCAAGUCCCGUG